UGGCGGUUCUUCAGACCUAUUAGAGGGGUGUGUAGUUAAACGAAAUCACACGAAAAUCUUACCUAAAUUUUUAGUAAUUUUCUAUUUUUUAUUUUAAAAUAGUUGAAAACUUACAAAUUUUGUACACCUCCGUCUGAAGGAUAAUUUUACCAAACUAUCCCCCAUCUAUCUAUGAAUACAUGAUUUAUAUAUAUAUAUAUAUAGAGAUAAGUCAGGUCAAGGUGCAGAUUAUAUUUAGGAAUCUAUGCAUUUCAGUAAAAAUUGGAAUAGAAAAGAGAACUUGUAAUAGUUUCUAUAAAGAAUUUAAAAGUAAGAAAUAAAUUUCUAUUAUAGAUUUCUGAAGAAGGAUAUAAAGAAUGCACACAUCGCCCG
rnacentral:rRNA from 1 species